rnacentral:tRNA from 1 species
UUUAAUAUGGCAGAUAAGUGCUAUGGAAUUAAGAUCCAUGAAUUUAGUUAAUUUUUAACUUUUAUUAAAA